rnacentral:rRNA from 1 species
CUACGGGGCGCACCAGUGGGGAAUAUUGGACAAUGGGGGAAACCCUGAUCCAGCAAUGCCGCGUGUGUGAAGAAGGCCUGCGGGUUGUAAAGCACUUUCGGUUGGGAGGACUGCUUCUAGCACUAAUAUUGUUGGAAGUUGACGUUACCUUCAGAAGAAGCACCGGCUAACUCCGUGCCAGCAGCCGCGUGUAAUACGGGGGGUGCAAGCGUUAAUCGGAAUUACUGGGCGUAAAGCGCGCGUAGGCGGCUAGAUCAGUCGGGUGUGAAAGCCCCGGGCUUAACCUGGGAACUGCAUCCGAUACUGUCUAGCUUGAGUACAGGAGAGGAGAGUGGAAUUCCACAUGUAGCGGUGAAAUGCGUAGAUAUGUGGAGGAACACCAAUGGCGAAGGCAGCUCUCUGGCCUGAUACUGACGCUGAGGUGCGAAAGCGUGGGGAGCAAACAGGAUUAGAUACCCGCGUAGUC